GACGAACGCUGGCGGCGUGCUUAACACAUGCAAGUCGAGCGGUAAGGCCCUUUCGGGGGUACACGAGCGGCGAACGGGUGAGUAACACGUGGGUGACCUGCCCUCAGCUCUGGGAUAAGCCCGGGAAACUGGGUCUAAUACCGGAUAUGACUCCAUGACGCAUGUUGUGGGGUGGAAAGCCUUGUGCGGCUGAGGAUGGGCCCGCGGCCUAUCAGCUUGUUGGUGGGGUGAUGGCCUACCAAGGCGACGACGGGUAGCCGGCCUGAGAGGGCGACCGGCCACACUGGGACUGAGAUACGGCCCAGACUCCUACGGGAGGCAGCAGUGGGGAAUCUUGCGCAAUGGGCGAAAGCCUGACGCAGCGACGCCGCGUGA
rnacentral:rRNA from 1 species